AACGGCCGCGGUACCCUAACCGUGCGAAGGUAGCAUAAUCACUUGUUCUUUAAAUAGGGACUCGUAUCAACGGCAUCACGAGGGCUAUACUGUCUCCUUUCUCUAAUCAGUGAAACUAAUCUCCUCGUGAAGAAGCGAGGAUAGUUUUAUAAGACGAGAAGACCCCAUGGAGCUUUAAACCCAAUGUACAUCUCUACGCAUAUAAGCCCCAAUAGCCCAAGAAAAUUGUAUGUUGGUUUUGGGUUGGGGGGACCGCGGAGAAAAAAUUAACCUCCACGACAAACGGGCCUAUGCCCUUAUCCAUGAGCUACCACUCUAAGAAUCAAUAAACUGAUGUUCAGUGACCCAAUUUAUUUGAUCAACGAACCAAGUUACCCUGGGGAUAACAGCGCAAUCUACUUCAAGAGCCCCUAUCGACAAGUAGGUUUACGACCUCGAUGUUGGAUCAGGGUAUCCUAGU
rnacentral:rRNA from 1 species